GUCUAAUCCCCAUUAUUUGUAAAGUAUGUCUAAUAUUCGGUCGAAAUAGUGUUCCUAAUUCGUCUACUGUGAAAAGAAUAAUUAAAAAAUUUGAAAAUACUGCUUCGAUUAGUGAUGGAAAUAUCCGAUACGAGCUCGUAGAGGUCUUUCAGAACAGAACAUCAUAGUCACAUCUCGCGAACUGCGAGAGUGUGAUAGAAAGGCCAGAGGCGUCGAUUCGUUAUGGGGCAUAAGAACUGAACAUUUCAGCAGGCACUUUUAAGCGAAUUCUCACUAAAGAUUUACAGCUGCAUGUCUAUAAAAUCCAACUGACUCGAGAACUUCUGUUAGCAGACCAUGAACAGCGACGAUAAUUCAUCAAUGGUAUCCUUGAGCAACUUUAGAAAGCAAUGCAUCCACAACAUCUCACUCUUUGGUGUGCAUUAUGAUCUGGAGGAAUAAUUGGACCAUUUUUCUUCAAAAACGAAGAAGCAAGAUGGUGCCACAUGUCAUACCGCCAGUGAAGUAUUGUCGAUCUUGCACGAGUUUGCUUCUGGCCGUGUCAUUUCCGGAUUUGGUGAUCAGAAUUGGCCUCCACGCCCCUACAAUUUAACGUCUUUAGACUUAGAGGUUAUGUGAAGUUACAGAUUUAUGUCAAUAAGCCUACAACCAUCGAAGCAUUGAAAGUCAAAAUUAGACGCUAUAUCAAUGAAAUAUUACCAUAUGUAUACAAUAACGUUAUUGAAAAUUUCAUCAUAUGACUACCCUUAUAUGCCAGCAAAGCCGUGGCGACCAUUUACAAGAUAUUUUGUUUCAUACAUGAUUCCCAACUGUAUAUUUUUUAAAUCAAUAAAUAUUUUAAUAAUUUGUUACAGAAA